rnacentral:sRNA from 1 species
ACUCAACGAGCUUUUAAUUCAGAAAGGCGAGUUUCUGUUGCUAAAGCAAGCUGCCUUGAGCAGAUCCUUGAACAGUGGAGUAGCCUUAAACGUGAUUUUUAGGAGUUU